UACGGAGGGUGCAAGCGUUGCUCGGAAUUACUGGGCGUAAAGCGCGUGUAGGCGGUCUCGUGUGUCUGGCGUGAAAGCCCCGGGCUCACCCCGGGAAGUGCGUUGGAAACUGCGAGACUAGAGUUCCGGAGAGGAAGGUGGAAUUCCAGGGGUAGCUGUGAAAUGCGUAGAUAUCUGGAAGAACACCGGUGGCGAAGGCGGCCUUCUGGACGGUGACUGACGCUGAGUCGCGACAGCGUGGGGAGCUACCAGG
rnacentral:rRNA from 1 species